UACGUAGGGGGCAAGCGUUGUCCGGAUUUAUUGGGCGUAAAGAGCGUGUAGGCGGCCAGGUAGGUCUGCUGUGAAAACUCGAGGCUUAACCUCGAGAUGUCGGCGGAAACCAUCUGGCUAGAGUCCGGAAGAGGAGAAUGGAAUUCCCGGUGUAGCGGUGAAAUGCGCAGAUAUCAGGAGGAACACCAAUUGCGAAGGCAGCUCGCUGGGACGUAACUGACGCUGAGACGCGAAAGCGUGGGGAGCAAACAGG
rnacentral:rRNA from 1 species